rnacentral:rRNA from 1 species
UACGUAGGUGGCAAGCGUUGUUCGGAAUUAUUGGGCGUAAAGGGCGCGUAGGCGGCAUGUUAAGUCGGCUGUGAAAGCCUGGGGCUCAACCCCAGAGGGUCGGCCGAUACUGGCAAGCUAGAGUACGGAAGAGGUAGCUGGAAUUCCCGGUGUAGCGGUGAAAUGCGUAGAUAUCGAGAGGAACACCUGCGGCGAAGGCGGGUUGCUGGGCUGACACUGACGCUGAGGCGCGAAAGCUAGGGGAGCGAACGGG